GAAGAGUGAAAACGGAUACCAGUUGACUACAUAUACACACGCGUUUGUUUAUUCCUUUGUGUGUUGGAAAUUAUUGAUGGUCCUUCUGUCACUGUCCGUAAUUUAGCGAUGGUGAGUCUCAAGCGAAAAAGAAAAGUGGACCUCUCCUAACAACUUAAAAGGAGAACAUUAUCUUGCAUAGCAUUUUUCUCCGAAGGGAUUGAUUCAAACAAGCACAUUGUGACAAGUAUCCCACUGAAGGCAAGUUCUACAACAAGGAGACGGACUCCACCAAUAUAUCGACGUUCAAAAAGGGCUUAAAUUUGUUUACCGAUCAAAACUAUGCCAUAAGACAUGAAUCACCCUCCAAUUAAAACAAAACAUAUGGAGAAGUCAGUCACUUUCAAAUCAAGUAACAAUUUAAGAUAUGAGACGAUUCUAAUGACGACAAUGAAUAUGGAGAAGUAUAAUGUACUUGAAAAUGUUUAAUGGAAAUAGAGGAAUGUGAAACUUC